UACAGAGGUCCCAAGCGUUGUCCGGAUUUACUGGGCGUAAAGAGCGCGCAGGCGGUCGUUCAAGUCGAGUGUGAAAGCCCCCGGCUCAACUGGGGAGGGUCAUUCGAUACUGAUCGACUCGAAGGCAGGAGAGGGAAGUGGAAUUCCCGGUGUAGUGGUGAAAUGCGUAGAUAUCGGGAGGAACACCAGUGGCGAAGGCGACUUCCUGGCCUGUUCUUGACGCUGAGGCGGCGAAAAGCUAGGGGAGACAAA
rnacentral:rRNA from 1 species